rnacentral:rRNA from 1 species
UGAGGAAUAUUGGGCAAUGCCCGCAAGGGUGACCCAGCAACGCCGCGUGGAGGAUGAAUGUCGUAAGAUUGUAAACUCCUGUUAGAGGGGAAGAAUAGUACCGGUUGGACCGGUAUAUGACUGUACCCUCAGAGAAAGCCCCGGCUAACUACGUGCCAGCAGCCGCGGUAAUACGUAGGGGGCAAGCGUUGUCCGGAUUUACUGGGUGUAAAGGGCGCGCAGGCGGGAUAAAAAGUCAGUGGUGAAAUCCUACAGCUUAACUGUAGAACUGCCUUUGAUACUUUUAUUCUUGAGUUCGGGAGAGAGAGACGGAAUUCCAGGUGUAGUGGUGAAAUACGUAGAUAUCUGGAAGAACACCAGUUGCGAAGGCGGUCUCUUGGUCAGACACUGACGCUGAGGCGCGAAAGCGUGGGGAGCAAACA